rnacentral:rRNA from 1 species
UACGUAGGGGGCAAGCGUUGUCCGGAUUUAUUGGGCGUAAAGAGCGCGUAGGCGGACCGUUAAGUCUGGUCUGAAAGCCCCCGGCUCAACCGGGGAAGGUGGCUGGAAACUGGCGUUCUUGAGGGCGAUAGAGGAGAGCGGAAUUCCUGGUGUAGCGGUGAAAUGCGUAGAUAUCUGGAGGAACACCGGUGGCGAAGGCGGCAUCCUGGACCGGUAUUGACGCUGAGGCGCGAAAGCCAGGGGAGCAAACGGG